rnacentral:rRNA from 1 species
AUGAAUAGAGCCAUGGAAGAACAAGCAUGCAGAAACUACACAGAGAGUUGGAUCAACAGUAAUCUAGAACCCAGGAACAAGGCAGACCGGGUGGAAGGUUUCGUGAUGGUGGCAGCUGUGUUUAUGAUUGUCCUUGCCAUUGGAGCGCCCAUGCGGCGUCAUUUGUGGACGAUGUUUCUGGCCAUGCUUUCUUUUGGGGGUACCAACGCAAUAUCAGUCCAGAAGUUUGGCGAGAACAGCACAAUGAAGAUCUUUUGUGACAUUCUCUUGUUCAUGUUCUACAUGGGCAUGGCUUUAGCCAGCGUUGACGAUGCCGCUAUGGACGUUCUUCCGCGCAUUGGUACAAUCACGACCCUUAUUUUUACAAUGGCAUUGGCAGGGAGAGUCAAUGGACAGUGGGAGGCGGCAAGCUUAGCAAGCAAACCAUCGUCAGAGAAUGGCAUCAAGUGGCUGGCCGACUACAUGAAGCGUGAGCACCAACCCAGCGCAUGCUACAAUCCCCGUACCAUGCAGGGAUAUAGGUACCCUGUUCUCAUACACAAUGCAACCGGAGAUAGUCCAAUAACACUGGAGCAGAUCUGGUCCAACAACAUUGGUGCCUUGUCAUCUUCCAACAGUCCUCGUAUACGUCGUCUCAAAGAUCUCUGUCUCUCAUUUGCUCUGUUCCAUCUUGUGGUUCGGCGAUACUUUGGCUACAGUUGUCCCGAGUCUAAGCUUGACAAGUCUCGUGAUCUUGUUCUUGAUGGGCUGCUGCAAACGGAACAAGAAUAUGAAAGAGCAUUCCAAGUGAUUGAAGCAGAGCUUGCUUUUAUAUAUGACUUCUUCUUCACCAAGUAUGCUUCCAUUAUGUAUGGAAAUAAGAAGUUCUAUUGUGCUACCUCAUUUGCCAUCACAGUUGUCUGUAUUGCUGUGGGUACAUGGGCUAUUACUGUUUCCAACAAGCAAGUUUCUAUUUUGGAUGAUCUUUUGGUCGAAACCAGCAGACGUGACGUUGUGGUAACCGUAGCAGCCUUGGUUGCACUGUCACUAUUCGAGCUGUUGCAGAUAUGUUCAUAUUUUGCCUCUGACUGGUCAAAAGUAUCAUUGGUUUGUACGUAUGCAACAAAUCCAUCCUGGCAAAAAAACGAACGAAUAAAGAAGGUUCUUUUGCUUCUAGGGAGACCUCACCGUUGGCUUCACUAUUGGCGCAACACCAUUGGCCAGUACUCAGUCCUUGAUUCCUUCAGUUCCAGUUCUUGGGAUCGGCUGAAGCAACGCUUUCAGAGUAGAAAGACUGGCAAUCCUGUAGAGUUGACAAUGGAGGUGAAGAAGGCAGUCGCACGGGUUAUCAGGAACUCAAUCAAUGGGCAUCUAUCAAAUGGGGCAUCAGAAUUGAUGAGACACGACAUGCAUGAUAGGCUCUGCUGGGCAUGUCAGACUGAUGAUGGAUUUACACUCACCAACAGUAUACUAGUAUGGCAUGUCGCGACUAGCUACUGCGAGAUCUCAGAAACAAUCGCAGGCCCCAAUGAAAAUGAUGUGCAUCCAAACCGAGGUGUUGCCACUAGCUUGUCCAAGUAUGUCGCAUACUUGGUAGCUUGUGCCCCGAAGUUGCUUCCAGGCCGUCCGAUAGAGUCAGAGUGUACGCUCGAUGAGCUGGAGAAAGAAGCAAAAGAAACACUUCAAGGACUCGUAUCGCCGAGGGAGAGGUAUGAAAAGCUUAGAGGACUGCCAAAUGUCGUUGAUGAAGUUCCAUCAAAUGUAGCUGAUGCAACAGAGGCAACAUCCGCACAACUAUUGAGCAAGGGUGUCAGGCUAGGAAAGUUGUUGGAGGACAUGGAGGAUCAGGUGAUCCGUUGGGAUCUAUUGGCGGAUUUCUGGGCAGAGAUGCUGGUGUAUAUCGCCCCAUCUGAUAAUGUGGCUGGUCACAUUGAACUUCUUGCUGAAGGUGGCGAGUUUGUGACGCACGUCUGGGCGCUGCUUAUGCAUGCUGGCAUCCUGGAGCGGCCUGCUGCUACUGCAAUACCCUAG